rnacentral:rRNA from 1 species
CCUACGGGAGGCUGCAGUGGGGGAUAUUGCACAAUGGGGGAAACCCUGAUGCAGCGACGCCGCGUGGGUGAAGAAGUAUUUCGGUAUGUAAAGCCCUAUCAGCAGGGAAGAAAGAAGACGGUACCUGACUAAGAAGCCCCGGCGAACUACGUGCCAGCAGCCGCGGUAAUACGUAGGGGGCGAGCGUUAUCCGGAUUCACUGGGUGUAAAGGGAGCGUAGACGGCCGUGCAAGCCAGGAGUGAAAGCCCGGGGCCCAACCCCGGGACUGCUCUUGGAACUGUGCGGCUGGAGUGCGGGAGGGGCAGGCGGAAUUCCUGGUGUAGCGGUGAAAUGCGUAGAUAUCAGGAGGAACACCGGCGGCGAAGGCGGCCUGCUGGACCGCGACUGACGUUGAGGCUCGAAAGCGUGGGGAGCGAACAGGAUUAGAUACCCGGGUAGUC